AACCAUAGAAACCUGCGGAGUACCUGCGGAGGGAUCAUUACAGAGUUGCAAAACUCCCUAAACCUUUGUGAACGUUACCUAAACCGUUGCUUCGGCGGGCGGCCCGGGUCCUUCCCGGCGCCCCUCGGCCCUCGCGGGCGCCCGCCGGAGGUAAACCAAACUAUUGCAUUGUAUGGCCUCUCUGAGUCUUCUGUACUGAAUAAGUCAAAACUUUUAGCAAUGGAUCUCAGAUCGGAAGAG
rnacentral:misc_RNA from 1 species